rnacentral:rRNA from 1 species
CGGGAGGCAGCAGUGGGGAAUAUUGCACAAUGGGCGCAAGCCUGAUGCAGCCAUGCCGCGUGUGUGAAGAAGGCCUUCGGGUUGUAAAGCACUUUCAGUCGUGAGGAAGGUAGUGUAGUUAAUAGCUGCAUUAUUUGACGUUAGCGACAGAAGAAGCACCGGCUAACUCCGUGCCAGCAGCCGCGGUAAUACGGAGGGUGCGAGCGUUAAUCGGAAUUACUGGGCGUAAAGCGCAUGCAGGUGGUUUGUUAAGUCAGAUGUGAAAGCCCGGGGCUCAACCUCGGAAUAGCAUUUGAAACUGGCAGACUAGAGUACUGUAGAGGGGGGUAGAAUUUCAGGUGUAGCGGUGAAAUGCGUAGAGAUCUGAAGGAAUACCGGUGGCGAAGGCGGCCCCCUGGACAGAUACUGACACUCAGAUGCGAAAGCGUGGGGAGCAAACAGGAUUAGAUACCCUGGUAGUCCACGCCGUAAACGAUGUCUACUUGGAGGUUGUGGCCUUGAGCCGUGGCUUUCGGAGCUAACGCGUUAAGUA